rnacentral:pre_miRNA from 1 species
AAUGGGAUAGCUGGGUCAAAUGGUGGUCCCAUUCCCAGUUUUCUGAGGAAUCUCCAUAUUGCUUUCCAGAGUGGUUGCACCAAUUUGCAGUCCCACCAGCAAU